rnacentral:rRNA from 1 species
AGUGAACGCUGGCGGUAGGCCUAACACAUGCAAGUCGAACGGCAGCACAGUAAGAGCUUGCUCUUACGGGUGGCGAGUGGCGGACGGGUGAGGAAUACAUCGGAAUCUACUUUUUCGUGGGGGAUAACGUAGGGAAACUUACGCUAAUACCGCAUACGACCUACGGGUGAAAGUAGGGGAUCUUCGGACCUUGCGCGAUUGAAUGAGCCGAUGUCGGAUUAGCUAGUUGGCGGGGUAAAGGCCCACCAAGGCGACGAUCCGUAGCUGGUCUGAGAGGAUGAUCAGCCACACUGGAACUGAGACACGGUCCAGACUCCUACGGGAGGCAGCAGUGGGGAAUAUUGGGCAAUGGGCGCAAGCCUGAUCCAGCCAUACCGCGUGGGUGAAGAAGGCCUUCGGGUUGUAAAGCCCUUUUGUUGGGAAAGAAAAGCAGCAGGUUAAUACCCCGCUGUUCUGACGGUACCCAAAGAAUAAGCACCGGCUAACUUCGUG